GCCAAAUGUUUGGACACACCUUCUCAUUCAAUGCGUUUUCUUUAUUUUCAGGACUAUUUACAUUGUAGAUUGUCACUGUGAAUGUGGAUUAUAUUUAUAUAGCGCUUUUCUCUAGUGACUCAAAGCGCUUUACAUAGAGAAACCCAAUAUCUAAGUUACAUUUAAGCGUUGACCGGUCCGCGGAUACAAAAAGUACAAAAAGGUUGGGGACCACUGCAGUAGUGUACACAGAGUUAAAAGGUGCUGUCCACGCAUGUGGCCAACUAAGUGAUGUGAAGUGAAUCAUAUUUAUAUAGCGCUUUUCUCUAGUGACUCAAAGCGCUUUACAUAGUGACACCCAAUAUCUAAGUUACAUUUAAGCGUUGACCGGUCCGCGGAUAAAAAAAGUACAAAAAGGGUUGGGGACCACUACAGUAGUGUACACAGAGUUAAAAGGUGCUGUCCACGCAUGUGGCCAACUAAGUGAUGUGAAGUGAAUCAUAUUUAUAUAGCGCUUUUCUCUAGUGACUCAAAGCGCUUUACAUAGUGACACCCAAUAUCUAAGUUACAUUUAAGCGUUGACCGGUCCGCGGAUACAAAAAGUACAAAAAGGUUGCGGACCACUGCAGUAGUGUACACAAUUUUGGAAUUAAGAGUUAAAAGGUGCUGUCCACGCAUGUGGCCAACUAAGUGAUGUGAAGUGAAUCAUAUUUAUAUAGCGCUUUUCUCUAGUGACUCAAAGCGCUUUACAUAGAGAAACCCAAUAUCUAAGUUACAUUUAAGCGUUGACCGGUCCACGGAUACAAAAAGUACAAAAAGGUUGGAGACCACUGCAGUAGUGUACACAAUUUUGGAAUUAAGAGUUAAAAGGUGCUGUCCACGCAUGUGGCCAACUAAGUGAAGUGAAGUGAAUCAUUUAUAUAGCGCUUUUCUCUAGUGACUCAAAGCGCUUUACAUAGAGAAACCCAAUAUCUAAGUUACAUUUAAGCGUUGACCGGUCCGCGGAUACAAAAAGUACAAAAAGGUUGGGGACCACUGCAGUCGUGUACACAAUUUUGGAAUUAAGAGUUAAAAGGUGCUGUCCACGCAUGUGGCCAACUAAGUGAAGUGAAGUGAAUCAUAUUUAUAUAGCGCUUUUCUCUAGCGACUCAAAGCGCUUUACAUAGUGAAACCCAAUAUCUAAGUUACAUUUAAGCGUUGACCGGUCCGCGGAUACAAAAAGUACAAAAAGGUUGGGGACCACUGCAGUAGUGUACACAAUUUUGGAAUUAAGAGUUAAAAGGUGCUGUCCACGCAUGUGGCCAACUAAGUGAUGUGAAGUGAAUCAUAUUUAUAUAGCGCUUUUUUCUAGUGACUCAAAGCGCUUAACAUAGUGAAACCCAAUAUCUAAGUUACAUUUAAGCGUUGACCGGUCCGCGGAUACAAAAAGGUUGGGGACCACUGCAGUAGUGUACACAAUUUUGGAAUUAAGAGUUAAAAGGCGCUGUCCACGCAUGUGGCCAACUAAGUGAAGUGAAGUGAAUCAUAUUUAUAUAGCGCUUUUCUCUAGUGACUCAAAGCACUUAACAUAGAGAAACCCAAUAUCUAAGUUACAUUUAAGCGUUGACCGGUCCGCGGAUACAAAAAGUACAAAAAGGUUGGCGACCACUGUAGUAGUGUACACAAUUUUGGAAUCAAGAGUUAAAAGGUGCUGUCCACGCAUGUGGCCAACUAAGUGAUGUGAAGUGAAUCAUAUUUAUAUAGCGCUUUUCUCUAGUGACUCAAAGCCCUUUACAUAGAGAAACCCAAUAUCUAAGUUACAUUUGAGCGUUGACCGGUCCGUGGAUACAAAAAGUACAAAAAGGUUGGAGACCACUGUAGUAGUGUACACAAUUUUGGAAUUAAGAGUUAAAAGGUGCUGUCCACGCUUGUGGCCAACUAAGUGAAGUGAAGUGAAUCAUAUUUAUAUAGCGCUUUUCUCUAGUGACUCAAAGCGCUUUACAUAGAGAAACCCAAUAUCUAAGUUACAUUUAAGCGUUGACCGGUCCGCGGGUACAAAAAGUACAAAAAGGUUGGGGACCACUGCAGUCGUGUACACAAUUUUGGAAUUAAGAGUUCAAAGGUGCUGUCCACGCAUGUGGCCAACUAAGUGAUGUGAAGUGAAUCAUAUUUAUAUAGCGCUUUUCUCUAGUGACUCAAAGCCCUUUACAUAGAGAAACCCAAUAUCUAAGUUACAUUUAAGCGUUGACCGGUCCGCGGAUACAAAAAGUACAAAAAGGUUGGGGACCACUGCAGUAGUGUACACAAUUUUGGGAUUAAGAGUUAAAAAGGUGCUGUCCACGCAUGUGGCCAACUAAGUGAAGUGAAUCAUAUUUAUAUAGCGCUUUUCUCUAGUGACUCAAAGCGCUUUACAUAGAGAAACCCAAUAUCUAAGUUACAUUUAAGAGUUGACCGGUCCGCGGAUACAAAAAGUACAAAAAGGUUGGGGACCACUGCAGUAGUGUACACAAUUUUGGAAUUAAGAGUUAAAAGGUGCUGUCCACGCAUGUGGCCAACUAAGUGAUGUGAAGUGAAUCAUAUUUAUAUAGCGCUUUUCUCUAGUAACUCAAAGCGCUUUACAUAGAGAAACCCAAUAUCUAAGUUACAUUUAAGCGUUGACCGGUCCGCGGACACAAAAAGUACAAAAAGGUUGGGGACCACUGCAGUAGUGUACACAAUUUUGGAAUUAAGAGUUAAAAGGUGCUGUCCACGCAUGUGGCCAACUAAGUGAAGUGAAGUGAAUCAUAUUUAUAUAGCGCUUUUCUCUAGUGACUCAAAGCGCUUGACAUAGAGAAACCCAAUAUCUAAGUUACAUUUAAGCGUUGACCAGUCCGCGGAUACAAAAAGUACAAAAAGGUUGGGGACCACUGCAGUAGUGUACACAAUUUUGGAAUUAAGAGUUAAAAGGGGCUGUCCACGCAUGUGGCCAACUAAGUGAAGUGAAUCAUAUUUAUAUAGCGCUUUUCUCUAGUGACUCAAAGCGCUUUACAUAGAGAAACCCAAUAUCUAAGUUACAUUUGAGCGUUGACCGGUCCGCGGAUACAAAAAGUACAAAAAGGUUGGGGACCACUGCAGUAGUGUACACAAUUUUGGAAUUAAGAGAUAAAAUGUGCUGUCCACGCAUGUGGCCAACUAAGUGAUGUGAAGUGAAUCAUAUUUAUAUAGCGCUUUUCUCUAGUGACUCAAAGCGCUUAACAUAGUGACACCCAAUAUCUAAGUUACAUUUGAGCGUUGACCGGUCCGCGGGUACAAAAAGUACAAAAAGGUUGGGGACCACUACAGUCGUGUACACAAUUUUGGAAUUAAGAGUUAAAAGGUGCUGUCCACGCAUGUGGCCAACUAAGUGAAGUGAAGUGAAUCAUAUUUAUAUAGCGCUUUUCUCUAGUGACUCAAAGCGCUUUACAUCGAGAAACCCAAUAUCUAAGUUACAUUUAAGCGUUGACCGGUCCGCGGAUACAAAAAGUACAAAAAGGUUGGGGACCACUGCAGUAGUGUACACAAUUUUGGAAUUAAGAGUUAAAAGGUGCUGUCCACGCAUGUGGCCAACUAAGUGAAGUGAAUCAUAUUUAUAUAGCGCUUUUCUCUAGUGACUUUACAUCGUGAAACCCAAUAUCUAAGUUACAUUUAAACCAGUGUGGGUGGCACUGGGAGCAGGUGGGUAAAGUGUCUUGCCCAAGGACACAACGGCAGUGACUAGGAUGGCGGAAGCGGGACUCGAACCUGCAACCCUCAAGUUGAUGGCACGGCCGCUCUACCAACCAAGCUAUCAAAGGCAUCAAAACUAUGAAUGAAGAUAUGUAGACUUAUGUACCGUAUUUUCCGCACUAUAAGGCGCACCCGAUUAUAAGGCGCACUUUCAAUGAAUUGUUCAUUUUGUUGACGAAAAAUUUUCCUCAUAGUUAACGUCUUUUUUUUUCUGACUAAAACGAGACGAUAAUUAAAUAAAAAAUUAUUUACGUGGGCUAAGACGAUGACGAGGUGUAUCGACAUAUUCGUGAACGAAUAAAAACGAGACGAAAAUGUCUGCCGGAGACGAGAUCCAAUCGGAACUCAUUUCGAUAGGAAGUCGGGAAGAGAACCAAUCAGAGCGACGCGGUAAGGAAGUCACGUUAACGUAGUUUGCGUUUGAGACUGAAGAAGACAAAAUGUCAACGCCGGGGAGGAAGAGGAGAGAGGACUUAUGGGGAAAUUUUCUAUUUGACGUCAAAGAUAAGAAGACGCAGUGUAAGAAAUGCAGCGCGGGAAUUACGGGGAAAAACACAACAAACUUAAAGCGACUUUUCCAGUCCAAUCACCCCGAAAUCCACACACAGGUCAGCAUUUUCCACAACUCACUCGACGUUAUCCCGUUUAUUACACGGCUUACUCGUGAAAUACUACAUUUGAGACAUGAUUUUCAUCAAAAUACGACUUGUGUCUGUGAUUUUUCCGCUGUUUUGCUUUGACUUUCAGAAAUUGAAGGGAAAGUUUACAUAUUACCCUUUAGUCGACUAAAUCUACUGUAGUUUUCGUCGACUAUAAUCUUAUGAUAUUUCGUCAACUAAAACUAGACUAAAACUAAAACAAUUUAAGUAACUAAAUUAUGACUAAAACUAAAUUACAUUUUAGUCAAAAGACUAUGACUAAAACUCAAUCAAAUUUUGCUGUCAAAAUUAACACUGAAGUGAAGUGAAUUACAUUUAUAUAGCGCUUUUCUCUAGGGACUUAAAGCCAUACUUGCCAACCCUCCCGGAUUUUCCGGGAGACUCCCGAAAUUCAGCGCCUCUCCCGAAAACCUCCCGUAAGAAAUUUUCUCCCGAAAAUCUCCCGAAAUUCAGCUGGAGCUGGAGGGGGCGUGGCCUCCAGCUCCGGCUUUUAAAUAGACAUGAGUGGGGACAGCCUGUUUUCACGUCCGCUUUCCUGUUAUAUAAACAGCUUGCCUGCCCAAUCACGUUACAACAUCUACAGAUUUUAAUAAAAAUUAAAGCUGCAGGCAGUGUUGGUCGGGUCCGCCUUUGGCCGCUGCCACGCCCUGGUCUAAGUCAGACCUACAUAGAAGUCUUUGUUUCAUGUCUCUACGACAUUCCUAACAGAAGUUACAAGCAGUUUUCUCUGUUUUUUUUCCCUAGGGGGCGCUAGAGCGCAAUUUUGACUUUUCGGGUUUGGUUUUUUAUUAGAUGGCAAUUUUCACCAGUCUUGAUGUGUGUGUAAAAUUUGGUGAGUUUUGAAGCAUGUUAAGGGGGUCAAAUUACAGAUCGGCGUUUCUGGAUGUUGUUGAUAAAUGGCUUUCGCUUUGCAUAGUACAGCUUUAACUUGCACUUUGAAGCAUUUUAAGGGGGUCAAAUUACAGCUCAAAGAGGCAAAAAUGACAUUUUUUAGGAAACUUUGCGCAGGGGUUCUUUGAAGGCGCGUAAAAUCAAAACCGGAGCAGUAAUCAAAACAUUGUUGGAUAGUUUUAAUCAAAAGGGUUCAAUCUCUCUCCUGUGCGAGUUUGAAGCCGAAACGACAAACGCACUCGGAGGAGUUUACGUUUGAAAAAGGUGACGGGUUUUUACCAAACUUUUAUUUUGAAGGGGUCAUUUUUAACUUCCUGUUGAUUUUUGCCGAAGGAUGUCAAUCAUCUAAAUGUAGGUCUAAGUGAGACCUACAUAAAAGUUUUUGUUUCAUGUCUUUCCGGCAUUCCCACCGGAAGUUACAAGCAGUUUUGUCCGUGUUUUCUUCCUCGAAGCAGUUUUUGCUAUGUUUUGAUCAAAAAUUGCGCAAGAGCGCAAUUUUGAGUUUUUUUUUUUUUUUUUCAUUAGAUUGCAAUUUCUGCCAGUCCUGAUGUGUGUGCCAAGUUUGGUGAGUUUCGAAGCAUUUUAAGGGGGUCAAAUUUCAGCUCAAAGAGGCAAAAAUUGAAUUUUUUGCGAAAAUUUAGUUUUGAAUGUUUUUUUUCCAACUUCCUGUUGAUUUUUGCCCUAGAAGGUAGUAUUAUGAAAUGUAGGUCUAAGUUAGACCUACGUGACAGUUUUUGUUUCAUGUCUGUACGACAUUCCUAACGGAAGUUACAAGCAGUCUGUUUUUUUUUGCUUCCUAGGGAAAAUACGGUACUUAACAAAAAAAAGGUGAAAUAACUGAAAACAUGUUAUGCGGACGCUGUAUCCAUCCGUUGUGGUGAAGAAGGAGCUGAGCCGGAAGGCAAAGCUCUCAAUUUAUCGGUCGAUCUACGUUCCCAUCCUCACCUAUGGUCAUGAGCUUUGGGUCAUGACCGAAAGGAUAAGAUCACGGGUACAAGCGGACCAAAUGAGUUUCUGGAUAGGGUGAGAAGCUCUGUCAUCUGGGAGGAACUCAAAGUAAAGCCGCUGCUCCUCCACAUGGAGAGGAGCCAGAUGAGGUGGUUCGGACAUCUGGUCAGGAUGCCACCCGAACGCCUCUUUAGGGAGGUGUUUAGGGCACGUCCGACUGGUAGGAAAGACCCAGGACACGUUGGGAAGACUAUGUCUCCCGGCUGGCCUGGGAACACAUCGGAAUCCCCCGGGAAAAGUUGGAUGAAGUUGGGGUUGGGAGGGAGGGAAGUCUGUGCUCCCCUGCUUAGGCUGCGGCCCCCGCGACCCAACCUCGGGGGCAGCAGUUCCUUCCAAAUAGCCACCCUUUGCUCUGAUUAUUGCUUUGCACACUCUUGGCAUUCUCUGGAUGAUCUCCAAGAGGUAGUCACCUGAAAUGGUUUUCACUUCACAGGCGUGCUUGAAGCUGUUUUAACGCGUUUUCAGUUAUUAUUUUUUUUGUGAAGUACAUAAGUCCACAUGUUCCUUCAUAGUUUUGAUGCCUUCAGGGACAAUCUACAAUGUAAAUAGUCUUAAAAAUAUAGACAACGCAUUGAAUGAGGUGUUUAAACCUUUGGCCUGUAUUAUAUAUUCAUGAUGAAAACAAAACCAAUGUGACCAUGUGAUUAUUUAUUUCUGAUCAAAGUGAUUUCUAUUUAAUUCCUGGUGUUAAGCCUGUUUACUGCAAGAGUUCUAUGAUAACAGACAUCACAAUUAUUCUCUUUGUUUAGUUUUCUUCUCACUGGUGCCAUUGUCACUGUACCCUUUUUUUUUAAACUCUAUCAUACAUAUAUUUACUAAAUUACUUUUGUAGCAUAAUGGCUUUCCACAUCAGAAUGUAUUGGAUGGUAAUGAAAUGAUUUAUUUUGUUUUCUGGAAAGUUGCUAAAAAAAAAAAAGCACUUUUUUUUUUUUUUUUUUGUAAAAUUUUGCUUAAGAAAAUAUAUAUCACAGUUUUAUUUUACAGUAUAAGAUAUGAUGCAUGUUUAAGGAAAUUUUACUUAUUAUGAUUUAUCACAACAAUUAAGUGCUUUUCAUUAGUGGGCACUUAAUUAAUGUCUGGAAAUGGAUUUUAUCAUGUCAUUCAGUUGAGAUCAUAGGACUCACUGUACAUUUUGUCGGUGCUUGUAAGACCUCUUUUUUUUCUUUUUUUUUUACAGAAAGCACAAAGUGUUAUACAGUAUAUGCCAACAAAAAUGUUUUUAUAUACAGUGGGGCAAAAAAGUAUUUAGUCAGUGACCGAUUGUGCAAGUUCUCCCACUUAAAAUGAUGACAGAGUUCUGUAAUCUUCAUCAUAGGUACACUUCAACUGUGAGAGUGUGGAGGAAAAAAAAUAAAUCCAGGAAUUUUAAAGAAUUUAUUUGUAAAUGAUGGUAGAAAAUAAGUAUUUGGUCAACCAUUCAAAGCUCUUUUGGCACAAAAUCUCACGAUACAUGGCCCCAUUCAUUCUUUCCUUAACACGGAUCAAUCGUCCUGUCCCCUUAGCAGAAAAACAGCCCCAAAGCAUGAUGUUUCCACCCCCAUGCUUCACAGUAGGUAUGGUGUUCCUGGGAUGCAACUCAGUAUUCUUCUUCCUCCAAACACGACGAGUUGAGUUGAUACCAAAAUGGAUACAUGGAUGAUACAGCAGAGGAUUGGGAGAAUGUCAUGUGGUCAGAUGAAACCAAAAUAGAACUUUUUGGUAUAAACUCAACUGGUCGUGUUUGGAGGAAGAAGAAUACUGAGUUGCAUCCCAAGAACACCAUACCUACUGUGAAGCAUGGGGGUGGAAACAUCAUGCUUUGGGGCUGUUUUUCUGCUAAGGGGACAGGACGAUUGAUCCGUGUUAAGGAAAGAAUGAAUGGGGCCAUGUAUCGUGAGAUUUUGAGCCAAAACCUCCUUCCAUCAGUGAGAGCUUUGAAUGGUUGACCAAAUACUUAUUUUCCACCAUCAUUUACAAAUAAAUUCGUUAAAAUUCCUACAAUGUGAACUCCUGGAUUUUUUCCCCCACAUUCUGUCUCUCACAGUUGAAGUCAAUCAAUCAACGUUUAUUUAUAUAGCCCCAAAUCACAAAUGUCUCAAAGGACUGCACAAAUCAUUACGACUACAACAUCCUCGGAAGAACCCACAAAAGGGCAAGGAAAACUCACACCCAGUGGGCAGGGAGAAUUCACAUCCAGUGGGACGCCAGUGACAAUGCUGACUAUGAGAAACCUUGGAGAGGACCUCAGAUGUGGGCAACCCCCCCCCCCCUCUAGGGGACCGAAAGCAAUGGAUGUCGAGCGGGUCCAACAUGAUACUGUGAAAGUUCAAUCCAUAGUGGCUCCAACACAGCCGCGAGAGUUCAGUUCAAAGCGGAUCCAAGACAGCAGCGAGAGUCCCGUCCACAGGAAACCAUCUCAAGCGGAGGCGGGACAGCAGCGUAGAGAUGUCCCCAACCGAUACAGGCGAGCGGUCCAUCCUGGGUCCCGACGAGCGGUCCAUCAUUGGGAUGGUUUCCUGCUGGCUCCGCUGUGAACGGGACUCUCGCUGAUGUGUUGGAUCCAUUAUGGAUUGAACUUCCACAGUAUCAUGUUAGACCCGCUCGACAUCCAUUGCUUUCCUCCUCUCCAAGGUUCUCAUAGUCAUUAUUGUCACCGACGUCCCACUGGGUGUGAGUUUUCCUUGCCCUUAUGUGGGCCUACCGAGGAUGUCAUAGUGGUUUGGCCAGCCCUUUGAGACACUAGUGAUUUAGGGCUAUAUAAGUAAACAUUGAUUGAUUGAUCAUGGGUCUCGACUCUGGACAGCCAGUACUUCAUCCAUGGUUAUCGGACUGGACCCCCUCCACAAUGGAGGGGGGGACAUAGGAGAAAGAAAAGAAGCGGCAGAUCAACUGGUCUAAAAAGGGAGUCUAUUUAAAGGCUAGAGUAUACAAAUGAGUUUUAAGGUGAGACUUAAAUGCUUCUACUGAGGUAGCAUCUCGAACUGUUACCGGGAGGGCAUUCCAGAGUACUGGAGCCCGAACGGAAAACGCUCUAUAGCCCGCAGACUUUUUUUGGGCUCUAGGAAUCACUAAUAAGCCGGAGUCUUUUGAACGCAGAUUUCUUGCCGGGACAUAUGUGUACCUAUGAUGAAAAUUACAGACCUCUGUCAUCAUUUUCAGUGGGAGAACUUGCACAAUCCGUGGCUGACUAAAUACUUUUUUUGCCCCACUAUAACUCCCACACAAACAUGACCAUAGUUUAGCCUCAAAACCACUCCAUCAGUCAUUAGUUAUUAACAACAUGUUCUGUUGAAAGCAAUCAGGGGAUUUUGUUUUUUUUACUUUCUAUCCAAAACAUACCUUUCUUGAAAGUGAGGUGUCACACUUUCAGUGAUAUACCUUCCUCUCGGUGCUACAGUAACACUCAACCUAUGCUCGAAUGUGACGGUGCUCUUUAAAAACAAGUCACUACAACGAUUGAACAUUUGCGUCACCGGCAGUCCGUUGGAACGCCGCCGUGACCAACAUGCGAUCAUUUUUGUCGAUAUCCUUUUAUUGUCGCGGUGAAAUGCAAACCACGGUCCACAUCUAACGUCUUCCACAGUCAUCUCAGCAGGAAAAUCACAACUAAAUGAAUGUAAUCAUGUUUAAAAGCAGUGGAUUUUGAAUGAAAACCAACAAUUAUCAACACAUUUGGAUUUAUUGUAUUCAGCCCACAUGACAAAACUGUACAUAAAGUGUUUGUUUUUUAAUCAACCUGAAACUAUCACCAGCAUUGCAAAACCUGGGGAAAAAAAAACAUUUUUACUACUUAAAAUGUUGUAUAAAUAUGUAUGUGAACUAUAUGGUUUUUACUGUACUGUCUGUAGACAAUGGAUGCUCUUGCUUAUUUUGCAACUGAAUUACUGUACGUGGCUAAAAAAAAAAAUAUUAUCCAUUUUAGACUUGAGAAGAGACUAAAUUUUGCAUUCCUUUUACGGAUGUCUGAUCUCUUUCGGGAUUGUGAAAUAAAGUCAUAUUUAUAUUUUGGACUUUA